AUUGUGCUCUCGUGUACCAGUUAAUAACAGUUAUUUUUUAUUGUCAGUUCAUCGCCGGGUCGGCGAUGCAUUUGGAGGGGGUGGAAUGUAGCGAGUGGCCCUGUCGUUGGGGGCAGUGUUGAGUCCUGGUGAGAGUAUAAAGCUAACGAGUAAAAAGUGAUGGCGUAUACCACGCUCUGUUGAGGGUAGUGGGUGAGACGCCGAGAGUACCAGGUAUGUAGGCGGGAAAUUUGAUUUGGUUUUAAUAGAUUUGCUUGUUGUUACCGUUCGUGUGGAGCGAUAACAAAGCGUUAUUAUUAUUUACCUCGUAGGUACUUGGAUGUGGUGGCCAGUUGUGGUGAACGUUUUCUACAGAGUGUGUGUGCGUGACGCAACUAGCAGUGGAUAUACUUCAUAUUGCCUCGUGUUAAUUUGGAGUGAAGUGAAUACGACUGGGACUCGUUUGUUUUAGUGCACCAAUGAACUGUAACAUUAAAGGCAUUUAAACAGCGAUUAAGAAUGCUGGAGUGAAUGUAGAGCGUCAGCCGCUGUUCUUUUCUGCCUGUUUUCUUUGUUUUAUGUGUGUUUUCUUUUGUAUUUUGUAAUUUUUAUACGUAGGUAACCACAUUUUUAAUGUGGUUCUUUUAAAAUUGUACCAGUGUAAAGCCACUUCCAGAGGAGUAAGCGGCUCCAGUAAUAGUCUUACCCCAGCCAGACUAGUUUUAAAGCGUGUGGGAAUUGUUCACUAUAAUUACAUUGAAUGUCCAAUUGUGUAGUGGUCUUGCAGUGUUGGACUUAAAGGUUGAAGUGUAAUGGAAUACUUUGUGAUUGGAGUGUAUGUUGGGUACUCGAUAUGGUUAGUAAUAGUAUAGCACACAUUAAUAGUUCUGGCUAGAGGUGGACUACUGGGGUUGCUUUUAUACACUAAAUUAUUAAUACUAAUCCAAGUGGCGAUCUUAUUGUUUUUUAGUGUUAUAAUAAAGAACGUCAUAUUGA